UGGUGUCACAAUGGAUGC
rnacentral:siRNA from 1 species